rnacentral:rRNA from 1 species
CCUACGGGUGGCAGCAGUGGGGAAUAUUGCACAAUGGGGGAAACUCUGAUGCAGCGACGCCGCGUGAGUGAAGAAGUAAUUCGUUAUGUAAAGCUCUAUCAGCAGGGAAGAAAAUGACGGUACCUGAGUAAGAAGCCCCUGCUAACUACGUGCCAGCAGCCGCGGGAAUACGUAGGGGGCAAGCGUUAUCCGGAUUUACUGGGUGUAAAGGGAGCGUAGACGGCAGUGCAAGUCUGGAGUGAAAGGCGGGGGCUCAACCCCCGGACUGCUCUGGAAACUGUACGGCUGGAGUGCAGGAGAGGUAAGUGGAAUUCCUAGUGUAGCGGUGGAAUGCGUAGAUAUUAGGAGGAACACCAGUGGCGAAGGCGGCUUACUGGACUGUAACUGACGUUGAGGCUCGAAAGCGUGGGGAGCAAACAGGAUUAGAUACCCUGGUAGUC